rnacentral:rRNA from 1 species
GAGUUUGAUCCUGGCUCAGGACGAACGCUGGCGGCGUGCUUAACACAUGCAAGUCGAACGGAGAUUUAAGAGGAAGCUUGCGAAUCUUAAAUUUUAGUGGCGGACGGGUGAGUAACACGUGGAUAACCUGCCUGUAAGACCGGGACAACACCUGGAAACGGGUGCUAAUACCGGGUAAGCUCUUCAGCCCGCAUGGGCAGAAGAGGAGAGGGGAAACCCGCUUACAGAUGGGUCCGCGGCCCAUUAGCUAGUUGGCGGUGUAACAGACCACCAAGGCGACGAUGGGUAGCCGGCCUGAGAGGGUGACCGGCCACACUGGAACUGAGACACGGUCCAGACUCCUACGGGAGGCAGCAGUGGGGAAUCUUCCGCAAUGGGCGAAAGCCUGACGGAGCAACGCCGCGUGAAUGAUGAAGGCCUUCGGGUUGUAAAAUUCUGUCUUCAGGGAAGAAAAAAAUGACGGUACCUGAGGAGGAAGCCCCGGCUAA